UUCUGCCUUUUUUUCUCUUUCUUUCUCUCUCUAUCUUGCUUUCUUUCUUUCUCUCUCUCUCUCUCCAGAUGUCUAGUCAGGGGCUGCACCAGGCUGCCACCAGCCUCAGCACAACCGUGACCAGCCCAUCGCCCUCGGCAACCUGCCCUCUGACACCCAGUGGCUCUGCAACUAUGAGCUCCGCCCCCUCCUCUGUGACUCCGCCUCCACACAGCACAGCCAGCAACGCCCCUCCCACCCUCAGUGCCCACAGCCUGAACGCUGGGAACACAAUGAUGGGAGUAAGCACAGGGAUGAACCAGGCUCUCAUCAGCAGCAAUCCCCUGGCCACAAUGCAAGGUGUGUUAGUCUGACAAAAUCAGUGUCUAUCCAGAUGAUGGAUUAGUAUUCUGAUUUGUAAUAAGCGCGCGUAACUCUGACUCUCACCUACAUCAAGCUCUGAUGCCAAGAGGAGAAAAUGUUGAGUUAACCGUGCAGAUCUCAAGGCAGAAAGGAAUAUGUGCCUCAGUUUGCUAUCAUUUCAACAUGGGAUUUCAAAUCAAUUGAAAUUGCAUGUCUUCACACCAUCCCGUCCGUAUCGCCGCCAAGUAGAUAAUGUGAGUGUCGUGUGUGUCUGUGCGUAUGUGCCAAGUACGAGUUAGCUUUCC
rnacentral:lncRNA from 1 species